CUGCCGCCCUCUUCCUGCCCCUCUGGGUCCGGGAGAGCGGCCGCGCGGCGGGGCGGGGGACCCACACCGGAGGCCGGGCUCGCGUACCCAGGGGUAAUGAGAGGCCCUGAGAUCCCAGAGGUACCAUUCGAGAAGCCUGGGAUGUGUUGAGGACUCUGCUUCCUGCAGACACACAGAGAGACGGAACCAGAGGGCAACCCACCAGGAAAGCCACUGAGCUGUGUGCACCAGGCCCAUCACUCAAGCUUGGCACUUUCACGGCAACUAGCUCCACGACAAAAUAAGCCUCCUUGAAAUUUCCAAACAGAAAGCUCUGGAGAUGUCUGGCAAGCCCUGGGCAUAACCUUCUGCUGCUGCAGACCUGGAAUCCACAGACGCAACCUCGAGGAGGAUGACCCAGCAGAUCGGCAAGCGGCCAAGAGGAGCUCCCCACUGCCUUCUUCUCCUCUUAGCACGAGUGACAGUGUGGUAUGCCCCCUGACCUCUCUUCCUCCUCCUGGACGAAACCAUGACUGGACAUGACAAUAAGGAACUCGUCCUUGCCUGAACCUAUGCCACCGGAAAUGGCCUCUUCUCCCCAGACGCUGGCUCACAGACGGAGCAGCCCCCAGAGGUGAAUUUAUCUGCCUUGAGCCCAGAUUCUGGGCUCUCCCACCUGACGCUUCAACGUCCAGCAGAGAAAGGAGUCUCUCUAGGGAAAAAAGAUCUAGGACCAACUGAGAAGUACAUUUCUAAAUCACCAGUUACUUUAAUGAUCAACAGUUAUGGCAACUGACGAAGGAACCCAGAAUGGACUUCCCUUCACCUGAACUCUGAGGAGCUAGAGCCUUGGCACUAUCUGCCCAUCUGCCUCCUUGGACAGUCCAGACAAAUUGGGAUGGGGGACACCUUCCAGGGCCCAGAAGUGGGCUCUCAUCUAACAUCCAGAAAUGAAUUGUCUGAAGAGACAAAUGAGCUGACAAAGAAAGAUAUUUUAUUGGAAAGGGCGCCCUGGUGGAGAGCAGUAGGGAAAAACAUCCCCAGGAAAACUAGAGGCAUUUUCCUAAAGCAGACAGAAGGACAUGAGAAACCGUUGUAUGCCGCUCCUUAAGUCCUCCGACCCAGGGAUCAAACCCAUACCCCCUGCACUGGAAGGUGAAGUCUUAACCACUGGACCUCCAGGGAAGUCCUUCUUCAAUUUUUUAAAAAAUUAGAUAUUUUGUAUAUGGGAUUUUAAAGUCAAAGGUGAUACAAACCAUUUCUCUUCCAAGUGAAGUACUGGACAGAGAGCAAGGCAUAUUCUGGCCACUGUUCCAACCAGAUACUGCAAAACUGCCUUAGAGGAGAAAAGUAGGGCCCUUCUCCAAAGACCAGGCCUUGCUUCUUGGAUGAAAGAGAUAAGGAACAGAAGGCCAGCUUGGGGAUAAAGGGCUUUGUGAAAAAACACUGAGAAACAGAGCAGUCCUCUUGUUUUCCCACAAGAAUGAUGACAAUCUACCUUAAAUCCUUUUUGGAAUGAGCAGCAGGGUUUGGGAGGCGGUAUUGAGUGAAUAAAUUAAUAUAUAAUAGAACUAAUUAAUUAAUAACCACACUUAGAGAAGAAUGAACAAGAAGGUCUUGCCAAGGACCCUCAGGAGGAAUAGGCAAGUUCUACAUGAUCCAAUGGAGGGGAAGUAAAGCAAUCUGGAAGCCAAUGACUGCUUUCUGAACUUCAAUUUUCUGGAGAUUAUAAUCAGUAUUGUGAAUGUUUUGCAACUCUAAAACUCCAUAAAGUGGUACUUAGUUCAUUCUGUUUGUCUCCUUGAGGUGCUAUUUUUAAAAAAUGAUGGCUUUACAAUUAAUCAGGUUAAUCUCUGAGUAAAAAUAAAGGCUGUCUUUUCUGAGAGCUCUUCAUCAUGCCAGGCAGGGUGUCUAUUCCCACACAAUGACUCUUUCUGUAUAGAGACUCUGUUGAGCUCAAAAGGAGCUCCAAGGAGAAACAGGAUGAGUGCCAGAGAGACAGCACAAUAAACAGGCGUACAUACCACUCAGUUACUUAAGGCCACUUGAAGGAACACAAAAGAAUUCUAAGAAAACUAAGGGACUUCAGAGAAAAACUCAGGGUUAUUUGUCUGAAAAAAAAAUGUUAUGUUCAUUGUAAUGAUUCUUGAUGGAAAAGAUGGUGUUACCAUUUCCUGAGACACAGAAAAGGAAGAGUCAGGAUUCUGGAAGGAAAACAUCCUUAAUCAUGAAAGGAGAGCCUGAGUGAUGGGAUGUUUGAUUGAUUUCACUUCCAUCAAUGUCUGGGACCUGCUCAGCACUGUCCUGGAGGAAUUAAGAAAAGUAGAAAAUGUGUGUAAGGUCGGGAAUCACUUUAGGCAUGAGAGUCCCACGAAGCACACCAAACCUAGGACAGAACAGGACAGAUAGCCAAAGGGAACAGAAUGGGUCUUUUCUCAAAGAAAAUAGAAAACACUUUGAGCUGAAGCAGUAGGGAAAGAGACUUAACUGUAGUAGAAGGUAGCCCUCCUGGCUCCUCCUCUUAUGAAACACAGAGUGGUUUCUUCAAUGUUGAAUGAUGACAGUGAUGAAAGAAAAAUGUCUUAUAAAUGAUUGAGAAAAUGGUAUGUCUUGGUCCUCACCCUAAGUCAUUUAAUCAUGAGAAAUAACUGGAUUUUAUAUAGCAUAACAUUAUAAUGACACUGGAUUUGUGGUGUGACACUGCUAAAGACAGCAUUCUCAUCAUUCUAUUUAUUGAACAAUUUCAUUAAUUUUGAUUCUUCCCCUUUCAGGUGUUCCUUUCCAUCUAUUAUCUUGUCUGAUGGCAGUUCUGUGACAACUAGAUGUCACAUGGGGAGAUGGUAAUUAUAUGCCAUGUCUUACUCUUUGAGUUUAACUUGACCUUUUCUUGAGGCAUAUUCUCCCCUUGAGUACUGGCAUUUGUGUUGCAACCUAAGCAAGCUAUUUUGGAUUGUCCUUGAUAUGGAACCUCUCACAGAAAAGAUUUCCAUUUGAAAAGUCAGUCCAUCAUUUUAUUUAUUAAAUUAACAACAUUUUUUACUGAUUUAUACAAGUUCUGUUCAACUAUCUAGACAAAGGCACAGAACAUACAUGUAUGUUACAUGACAGAUGACCGGUUCCUAGAGGAUGCAACUAUUAUUUUCAGUUCUAGAUUUAUCUCUACCUUGUCUAACUGAGUCAUAGUGAACUUCCUGCAGAAGGUGUGUUAUUGUCUUUUCAAACUGGGAUUUACCCUGACUCAGCAUGUAUUUAGGGGGAAAAUUUGUGCAUGGUAGGAAGGACGACGAAUGAUCUACCAAGUUUUCCCACUGGUUUUUCAUAAAAGAUUUCCUCAUUUCACUGUCCUUAGAGAAUUAUUGAUUCUGCGGUUUGUACUUUUUAAGGCAGAUCUUUAAGCUGGUGGAAUACUUGCACUUGUCUUUUAUGCCUAAGAAAUAACUGAUGGAACUUGUGGACUGUGCAUAUUUCACAUUGCCUGGUUAGAUUCCUGAGGAUGCUCAGUUUUCUGGUCUAUGUUUUCUUUUGUUUUGUUCUGAGCGAAGGAGGUCAGCAGGGCACAGAAAGCCCCUUCUUUGAGAUUACUAGAAAAUAAAGAAUUUAGAAUGAACAACUCCAGAGAGAUUUAUACAGGUCCCUUAAAAAAAAAUUCCACUCUGAAGGUUUGCAGGAAAAACAGGUCCAAGCAGGGAAAACAGGCAGAUUAGUUUCUCAGGAAGAGUAUAUGUUUAGAUGUGUCUUGAAUGUUAUGAUUUUAGGGUAAUCUGGCUCCACCAUAAACACAAUACCACCGUAUUUUUCUACAUAGUAAUACUCUGGUGGAGCUCAGCAAGCUUUAUAGAUGUUUGCUGAUUUCUGGAGAGACAGAGCAGCUAUUGAGUCACUCGCCCAUAAAUCCUUAACCCUGUCUAGGAGCAGGACAGUAUUGCCCCAUACAGGAGACACUUUUAGAUUAAAUCUUAAUUAGUCCUAGUUAAGAUCUGGGUGGCUCAGUGGUAAGGAAUCUGCCUGCAAUGCAGGAGACUUGGGAGAUGUGGGUUUGAUUCCUGAGUC